rnacentral:rRNA from 1 species
CAAGAAUAUUAGUCAAUGCUCGCAAGAGUGAACUAGCUAACUGAAAUCACAUUUUUAACUAUGUUGAAAUAUGUGAUAACGUAAGGGAAAAAAAUGAUAUUACCUUACUAUAAGUGUUGUCCAAAACUGGUGCCAGAAGACUCGGUAAGGCCAGAGACGCAAACGUUAGUCGUCCUAAUCAGGCGUAAAGGGUAUGUAGGCUGCUUUAAAACCAAUUAAAGCUAGGAUCAAAUUGAGGAUAAACCAAAUAAUACUUAGUGUAGGGUUGAUAUCUAUAGAUACUAAGGGGAAUACUAAAGGUGAAAGCUUUUUAUCUAAGAGUGAUUGACGCUGAGAAACGAAGGUGAGAAUAGGAAAUAGGAUUAGAUACCCAGAUACCUCUCACUGUCAACGAUGAAUGGUGGUUAUUAGUUUUAAAAAAAAUUGGUAACGAUGUUAACACGAUAACCAUUCCGCCUUGCGAGUACGGUUGCAAAACUGAAACCAAAAAAAUUAGUCGGUCUCGAAGCAAACGAAGUGAAGCAUGUUAUUUAAUUCGAUA